UACGGGGGGAGCAAGCGUUGUUCGGAUUUACUGGGCGUAAAGGGCGCGUAGGCGGUAGCACAAGUCAGUUGUGAAAUCUCCGGGCUUAACUCGGAAAGGUCAACUGAUACUGUGCGACUAGAGUGCAGAAGGGGCAACUGGAAUUCUCGGUGUAGCGGUGAAAUGCGUAGAUAUCGAGAGGAACACCUGAGGCGAAGGCGGGCUACUGGGCCGGCAUUGACGCUGAGGCGCGAAAGCUAGGGGAGCAAACGGG
rnacentral:rRNA from 1 species